UCGCCCCUACUCAAAAAUUUAUGCCAAAACAUGCCAAAAAAAUAUGGGAUGCCCCUUCCCAUAUUUUUCAUGGUAAAUCAAUUCUCCAACUAAUUUUUCAUAAAAAAUCUCCUCAAAAUGUCUCACAUAUAAGGAGAAAAAAAUAAGUUGGCCGCAAGGUCUUAGAAAUAAUGUCAAACAUUAUCUAUAUGGUAUCUUAUUUCAAAUCAGAUUUGAACAUACUAUUUAAAAUUUGAUUCUACCCAAAUUUGGAUGUGAGAUAAAGAAGGAAAAGGACUCUUUGGCAUG
rnacentral:lncRNA from 1 species